UGUGGCUCAGUGGUUAAGCACCUCUGGGUUCAAUCCCUGGUACAAAAAGAAAGAAAAGGGCUGGGGAUAUAGCUAAGUGGUAAAGAGCCCCAGAGUUCAAUCCCCAGCACCAAAAAAGAAAAAAAAAUGAUAGGAUGUGACUAAUUUAGUUGAGGGACAGAAGCUGCCAAUGGAGAAGGGACAGUGAGCAAGCCAGUCGCAGCCAUCAGAAGAUUUGCAGAGAAGCUAAUGAUGGGGCUAGGCUGCAGCACAGUUCUGCCAGUGUGGACCCAAGGAGACGAGUAGGGGGGAUUCGGGUUGGUGGCUGGAGGAGAAUCCAUAGUUGAGGAGCCCAGAGAACCAGGAAAAGGAGAACGUGUGGGAACUGCUCAGGGGAAGAUGGUCCAGAUAAACUUGGGAGAUGGGGACUCUGACCCACAGCUGGGCUUCUCCACCCCUUGACACAGAGUGCCAAGAUCAGCCUGCCCCAUCUGAAGCAGCUCUGACCUGAUGGACAAGUCUUGGUCACAGAAGUCCUGCAUGUCACCCCCAGAGCUCGUGUGUGAAGCUCAGGGUUCCAGAAAGCCAGGCGUCAGGGCUGCCUGGGGGAGCCCCAUGCUUCAAAGUGGCUUCACUGAAAUUGACUCAGUCCCCUUCAAGACCUGGGUGUGGCCUGGGCCAGCGGGACUGCCCAGGCAGAGCCUUUAUCCCCUUCAGGUGCUCUCCAGCCAGGGACCCUCCCCCACCCGCACAUGGCCUUGAUCUGGUGUCCUAGAGGCUGGAACUCAUGCCCAAGGGGACACCACAGCUCCAGGAGGGUAGCUUGGCCAGCUGGUCACUCAGUCCAGCAGAAGAUUCUUAGAAGAAAUUGUGAGAUCAGCCACUGAGUGAUGGUUGGUGUGCCAUUAUACAGGCAGCGGUCAAAGUUGCCAGGGGACUUGGGGUGCUGCGAAAGUGGAAAGGAACAGACGGUGGAGAUUGGCAGGUGGAAGAGGAGCCCAGAAGAAGGUGGAGUCAAGGCAUAGGGCCCAGGCUGCUGAGAACAGCUGUGAGAGAAGAAAGCCUUUGAGGUUUUUGUUGCUUUUCUUUAUAGAUAUGUAUACAUGACAGCAGGAUAUAUUGU
rnacentral:lncRNA from 1 species